CACCUCAUUUAAUAGUUUAGUGCAAAUGAUUCUGGGUUCAAACAGAAGGAAUAUAUCCUAUUCCACAUUUGUAUGUACAGAUAUACAGUAAAGUGUAUUUUAAAAUGCUCCUAAUGUGCUGUGUGUAAAAUGUUCAUGCAGUAAAGCUGCUGAGUUUCUACACACAUCAGUCAGCAGAAAUUUGCACACUGUCAGCUCCAAAGUUCAGGAAUAACUAUCAUAAAUACAGUCUGCAAGAAUUUUUAUUCCUUUAUUGUACAGGGUGUCCCAAAAGUCUCCAUGUAGAGAGAGAAAUUAACACUUUUUAGCAAAAUGUCUUCCAAAAUUGAUCUUGCUUAUAUACAUUCUAUAUUAUAGAGGACUAUGUUUGCUAUCAUCACGUCAGUUGUUCCUUCGUCAGUGGAUGUUGGUGGACAUCCACUUCUAUAUAUGUGUAUAUGUGUGUGUAUAUUUAUAUAACUUUUCAGAUAGCCUUUAAAAAUCUUUGACAAAAGAAGAACGUAUUGAAGUCAUUCUCAUAGCUGCAUCGGGAAGCUGUUGCAAUAUAAGAGCUUUGAGACAUAGCAAUAUAAUAUUUCUAAUAUUAAUUUGUAAAAUGAAUGAAACAAAAUAGGAGACUGGGAUUUUCUCUCGUGACCCCAUUUGUAAAUCAAGCAAAGGGGUCAUGACCCCUAGAUUGGCAGCCCCUAGUGUACCACUGAUGAGUAUUUUCUUAUUUCAUCAAAAAAUUCAACAAGACUGACAUCACAGCUCACCUAACCUGCCGUCAGACCCCAAACCGCUAACAAAAUAAUCAGCAGUGAUGUGAGUACUGUACAUUUUGUAGCACAGCGCCCCCCUCUGUCACUCUCAAACUAAUACACUCUAUAUUGUAUAAAUAUAUGGUUUCACUUUCAUUUGCUUACAUGUGACGUUGCCAUUUACUUAAAGUAAACCUCGACAUGUAUCAUUUGGGAUUUAAUUAAUUAACACAAAAAUAUUCCUACACAAAUUGUUACUAUUACUAUAUUGAUCUGUGUUACUCUUUCACAUGAGUAAGUCUCUCUCUCUUUCACAAGUCUUUCUCUCUCUCUCUCUCUCUCUCUCUCUCUCUAAUAAAAAGAAUAAUUGAGUCAUAUUAAAUUUAAACUUUACAUUAAUGGACUUUAAUUAAUUGUACUAUUUCCUUUAUGAUAAUUUUAUUAUCAUUUUGUGUCAUAGUAGAUCUUUUAUUACUUUUAUUAAUUUUAUUACUAGGCCACAUUUAUGUAAUGAAUAAUGAAAUGUCUUUUUUUUUAAACCCUUACAAUCACCACACCAAUAUAUUAUUUAUUGUAUGAAGGUAAGUAAAUUCUGAUCUUCAAAAUAUUCAGAAUGAACAUGAAAUAGAGGAUUUCCCCAACACACACAAAAUCAUACCUAACCAACAGCCAACAACCAGCAACAUACCUCACCAACAACACGCCUACAUUAUAAUCUGUUUAAAAGAAUAGUAGACGUUAUUGAAUAUUUUAAAGCCUUAAGACUGCACUUCUUCAGUUCUGUCUGAUUUUAAAAAAAAUUGUUUGAUCUUUUCCCCUGCAUCAUGUUGUAUCUAAUUAUUAGUAGGAUUGGUGAUCAUGUUGCUUUUUACCCAAAAUUUUAUUUAAUUUCAACAAAAUCAGAACAUAGGCUUAACUUUGGAAACCUCCACCAAAAAAUAAACACCCAACCUGUUUGCAGUACACAGUCAAACUGGAGAAAAGUUUUAAAAUGUUGAAUCAGUUAUGAGUAACUGAAUUAUUCACACUUUCCACUUCUUUAAUGAGAAUGCCGUAUGGACGGAUUGAACUCUCCACGAUCUCCUUCUCCUGCUCCGCUGUGCUGCCCACAGGAACGGGGAUGAGCCAGUAAUCAGUUUUAACUGUAAGUGUCCGUUUCAGUGGAUUUACUCGGUUCUGCAUGAUGGUUCUGUAGGUUUUCCCAGUUUUCUUGGAUUUGAAUAUCUUGCUCAUGGUAUAAUGUUCUGCAAUUGUAAUGUCAGGAGUUGAAUAAAUGCCGCGACCAUACGCCUGACCUUGACCUGCUUUGUAAUGUGUGCUUGCGAUUUCUUUAGCGCCUUCGAUGCUCGUGCCGUGGAAGGAAACGGGCCACUCACCGGCUGCAGAGUGACUCCUCCAUCCUUUAGGACCAAGCCAUGCGUUUCCAUCCGGGUAUUUAUUCCGCACCCUCAGAGCGAAGCGGUACCACCCGACCGGCCGCUUGUACGGCUCACCUCCACGAGAGCACGCUGAGGAAUCUGUCAACUUUCGGAAAUCAUAAUCAAAAUGUGGAUCAAAAAACUCCUCCAUGUCCACGAAUAGCUCGUUCCGUAAUGCAGAGAUUUCACUCUCGCUGAUUUUUAAACUGUUCAAUAACUCAUUCACAGUCAUCUCCCCAUCACCUUUCAAUGCCGUUGUUAAAGCAGCUGAAAGAAAAUUUUCAACUGUCAGUUUAUUGGCAACUUCCUGCGCUUUUCGGUCAGCAAGAGGUUUAACUGUAGCACCGGUGAGAGCGGAGAGAGCCUCCAACACGACUUCUCUGUCCAUUCCCGGCAUGAUGAACUCCUGAUUUGAUGCCUGACAGGGUCUGAAGAUCUGUGUUCACACUGAACUCUCGUGA
ensembl:lncRNA